CGGGUGAGUAACGCGUGGGUAACCUGCCUUGUACUGGGGGACGAACAGUUGGAAACGACUGCUAAUACCGCAUAAGCGCACAGCUUCGCAUGAAGCAGUGUGAAAAACUCCGGUGGUACAAGAUGGACCCGCGUCUGAUUAGCUGGUUGGUGAGGUAACGGCCCACCAAGGCAACGAUCAGUAGCCGGCCUGAGAGGGUGAACGGCCACAUUGGGACUGAGACACGGCCCAA
rnacentral:rRNA from 1 species